AUCCCACCGAGGCCACCAUAGACCAGCCAGCCCUCAGCGUACAUGCCAGCUAAUUACAGAUGCAGGAGCAAACCCCUGGCCCAUACAUCAAUUUUAAUGUCAUUGAAUACAGAGAACAAAUCUCAUUCACUUUGGUAUCGGCUGGAGUCAACAAACAUUUAAAAAUCAUUUACUGCGUCUGAUUUUGGGAUUUUGGAAGCAUUGCCUUCUACAGAAUCCACAGUAGUCCGAAGCUCUUCUACGGUUUUUGUCAAACUUUGAUUUUCCAUCUCUAGCUUCAAUAAUCUACUUGAUGUCAACUCAUUCACCUCAUGGCCCAGGGAUUUCUGGGGUGCUAUAAUAUUGAAAAAUACACCAUUGUAUUUACUCUUUACUGUUUUUACUAUGUUUACUCUUUACUAUUUAAAAAGUUGAGUGUAUAUGCAUUGCAUCAUCUGAUCCUUAACUUUAUUAAAAAUUCAAUGAGGUUAUAUAAGAUAAACAAGAUAAAAGAAGUAAAUCUUUUUUUUCCUUUUCUUUUUUUCUUUUUUUUAAAGAGACGGGGUCUCUCUCUGUCACCCAGGCUGGAGUGCAGUGAUGUGCUCCUAGCUCACUGCAGCCUCAAACGCCUGGUCUGAAGGGAUCCUCCCACCUCAGUCUCCCAAGCGGCCGGGACUGCAGGUACAGCCAGCUAAUUUUUUUAUUUUUUAGUAAAGACUGGGUCUCUGUUACUUAGGCUGGUCUCGAACUCCUGAGCUCAAGCAAUCCUCCUGCCUUGGCCUCCCAAAGUGCUGGGAUUACAGGCAUGAGCCGCUGCACCCAGCUAAGAGAUACAUGUUUAACUUUUAAUGCAUCCACAGCAUUCUAGUUAAAAA
rnacentral:lncRNA from 10 species